rnacentral:tRNA from 1 species
GCUGCGAUGGUUCAAUGGUAGAAUGCUUGCCUUCCAAGCAAGCGACCCGGGUUCGAUUCCCGGUCGCAGCA